GGGCCCGCACAAGCGGUGGAGCAUGUGGUUUAAUUCGAUGCAACGCGAAGAACCUUACCAGGGCUUGACAUACUACAAAUUCUUUAGAGAUAAAGAAGUGCCUUCGGGAAUGUAGAUACAGGUGGUGCAUGGCUGUCGUCAGCUCGUGUCGUGAGAUGUUGGGUUAAGUCCCGCAACGAGCGCAACCCUUAUUUUUAGUUACUAAUUCGUUAGGUUUUCUAGAAAGACUGCCGGUGACAAACCGGAGGAAGGUGAGGAUGACGUCAAGUCAGCAUGCCCCUUAUGCCCUGGGCUACACACGUGCUACAAUGGUUAAGACAAAGAGUCGCGAGCUCGCGAGAGUCAGCUAAUCUCAUAAACUUAGCCUAAGUUCAGAUUGUAGGCUGCAACUCGCCUGCAUGAAGUUGGAAUCGCUAGUAAUCG
rnacentral:rRNA from 1 species